AUUGUCCUACGGGACGCAGCAGUAGGGAAUCUUCCACAAUGGGCGAAAGCCUGAUGGAGCAACGCCGCGUGGGUGAAGAAGGUCUUCGGAUCGUAAAACCCUGGUGUUAGAGAAGAAAGUGCGUGAGAGUAACUGUUCACGUUUCGACGGUAUCUAACCAGAAAGCCACGGCUAACUACGUGCCAGCAGCCGCGGAAAUACGUAGGUGGCAAGCGUUAUCCGGAGUUAUUGGGCGUAAAGGGAACGCAGGCGGUCUUUUAAGACUGAUGUGAAAGC
rnacentral:rRNA from 1 species